CCUACGGGUGGCAGCAGUGAGGAAUAUUGGUCAAUGGACGAGAGUCUGAACCAGCCAAGUAGCGUGAAGGAUGACUGCCCUAUGGGUUGUAAACUUCUUUUAUAUGGGAAUAAAAUGUUCCACGUGUGGGAUUUUGUAUGUACCAUAUGAAUAAGGAUCGGCUAACUCCGUGCCAGCAGCCGCGGUAAUACGGAGGAUCCGAGCGUUAUCCGGAUUUAUUGGGUUUAAAGGGAGCGUAGGUGGAUUGUUAAGUCAGUUGUGAAAGUUUGCGGCUCAACCGUAAAAUUGCAGUUGAAACUGGCAGUCUUGAGUACAGUAGAGGUGUGCGGAAUUCGUGGUGUAGCGGUGAAAUGCUUAGAUAUCACGAAGAACUCCGAUUGCGAAGGCAGUUCACUGGACUGCAACUGACACUGAGGCUCGAAAGUGUGGUUAUCAAACAGGAUUAGAUACCCUUGUAGUC
rnacentral:rRNA from 1 species